rnacentral:rRNA from 1 species
AUGAAGCUGGAGUUGCUAGUAAUCGCGAAUCAGCAUGUCGCGGUGAAUACGUUCCCGGGCCUUGUACACACCGCCCGUCACACCAUGAGAGUUGGCAAUACCCAACGUACGUGAUCUAACCCGCAAGGGAGGAAGCGUCCUAAGGUAGGGUCAGCGAUUGGGGUGAAGUCGUAACAAGGUAAC